AGGCAUGCACAGGAGAGGGGCCCUGGGGGCUGGAAGCCCUUCGCUGCGGCGUUGGAGUCUAAUCUGAGCCCUGAGGACCCCCGCCAACCCCGCCGAGUCUCCAAGGACAGCGUGGAAUGCGUCUCCCUUGCAGACACGGCACAGGAGCUGGGUUUCAGCAGCAGCAGCAGCAGCAGCAGGUCAGCGCAGAUCUGACCCCGUAGCUCCUCCUGGAAAGCCACCCAGGGCUCCCUGAAGACCUCCAGACAUGAGGCCUGGAGGCUCGGCAGCCAAAGUGUGGCCAUGAGGAAGCCAUGUGUGUUCCAAGUGACCAUGCUGAGGACAGAGAAAAGGAAGACAGAGCCGGGGGCGUGGCGUCACUUGGAAGCUACUGCCUGGACAGUAGCCCGCUUCCUGGAACAGCCUUCCUGGUUGGACGGGACCUGGGCUGGGACAGGCCGCGCUCCCGAGCCCGUGAUGUUCGGCAUCUCGCCUCCCCCGCGCCCUUCGAGCUCAUCGUUGCGGGGCAGCAGACGUCUUCAUCUGUCAGAGGUCCUUCCGCCUCCGGGACAUCAACUCCAAGACAGCAGGAACUGUCUCCUUUGUUCCCUGUUCCUGAGCGAACGCAGCGCCGCAGCCAAGAUCACUGUGUCUCAGAAGAAAGGAAGGAGGAAGGAGAGAACGCUGCCUCCAGCAAGCACCGACCGAGCGCUGGGCCCCGUGUGUCAGCUCCGAGAACCAGGACGGCUUCGGGGUGGCAGGGGGAGCCAGGCUCAGGGAGAUGCCACCACCAGCAGCUCCCGUCUCCUGCCCAGGGCCCGAGCCCUCCACAGGGGCGUAGGGCAGGAGCGGGCUCCCAGCAGCCUGGCCCCUCUUCCCGCACGCCCUGCCUCUCCCUCCUGACCCUCUGCCUUUCCUUCCCACCGGGAGACGUUCCCUGCCCUCCCUCCCUCCCUCCCCACGCCCCCACAGCCACAGCCCAGGGGUCGGGGUGAAGGAGAGGUGGUGUCGGCCUGCCACCCUGCGCGGUGCAGAGGGACUGGGUGACCUGGAUUCCAAUCCCAGAUCUGCCACUUACAAGCCCGGGGACCUUGGGGGAGUGACGGAGACUCUUUCCCAUCUGUGCAAGGGGGCCACGCUGGCCUCGCCCCCCCCACCUUCGGGGGGGCUGUGCUCCGUGUGCGAGACAGUGCACGGAAAGCCCCCGGUCACUCGGGAGCUGACGCUGUUCUCAGCGAAAGGGUCAACUCCCAACCCCUCUGGCUCCUGACUCCACGGCAGGGCAGAGGUCUCGACGUGGGGGACUAAGUCCCGUGCUUCCCUCAAGCUCCCCACAAAGGGUCGAGGGAGGGCCUGACCUGAGCCAUCCGCCCCUCCGCAGCCCACACCGUCUCUCCCACAGACGGGGCCUUUAAUAGAGCCCGGCACCGAAAGGCCGGAGACCAGCACGUAAACCACUGCGAACGCUGGCCUGGCCCACGGAACCCCGAAAUACUGCCCCCCUGGAAACUCCUCCCCUUUGUCGCAACAAGCACUGAUGGAGCCUCUGCAGUGCACCAGGCACCGCGCAGGCACAGGACGCCGCCCCCGAGGACAGUACAAGGGACCGGGGGUCUCUCCUGGGCCCCUGCCAGCUGCUUCCUACUUCGCACUCCGCCGAAAAGGCCCAAACCGAUGUGGCCCCUAAUGCGAGCUCCUUGAGGUCAGAGGCCCUGUUCGGUGGGUGAGAGCACUGCCGGCCAGCGGGGUGUGCAUUCCUCCCCCGCCUGCCUUCCCAGCAGAGCCCUGGUUUGGCUCAAACAGGCAAACCUGCUCAGAUAGAAACAUGCAUCUCCCAUGCUCUGGCUGCUGUGGCUCAGGGGACGGAGUGCUGGCCUGGGAGCCGAAGGGUCCC